GAGGCCCAGGCACAGCAUCCUGAGACCAGGACCAGCCAUCGGUUGUCAUAGCAACUGCAGGCUGCAGGGGUGGGGGGUGCGCUGGUGGCAGGAACUCCAGGCAGGAGAUGGGGUGGGCGGCGUCUGCUGGCUGUGUGCGGUCGCGUAGGAUGGAGACCCGUGAACCGCAUGUGUGGGCGUGUCUUCUGUGACCCGUCCACGCAGGGCUGGCUAAUCUAAGGCCAUUGACCCACAACGCUUAGAGGAGCCUCAAAGACAGCUUUACUCAGUUUUCUGCUUUAGGGCGGAACUGGUGCUCCGCUUACACGGAACCCUAUUGCCUCGCUGUGGGCCACGAAACCCAAAAGCCAGAUGAAGGAAACACCAGGCCAAACCCAGGUGGUCUGGCAGGCCUGUGAUGACCUCACUGCCAACAGAGCAGAACCUGUUAGUCAGUGCUCAGCAACUGGAUACAGAAAGUCCAUAAACCAACCAUCAGAUGCCCAAGUUUUGUGCUGUGAACACGCUCAUCUCUCUGGAAGACAUAUUGUGGGGUCCAUCAGGCUCUGAAAGAGGUCACUGAUGCAAAAAAAAACAAGCCAGCCCCAACAGAAAGGAGACGCCUCCACCGACCUGAGGCUUCUGAGGCUCCGGCUAAGCCAACAAGCCCGCCUCCUCCCAUCUGGAGGGACACUCCCUCCCACGCCUCUCAGGUGGCACCUCUCUGCUUUACCGAAGCUUUGUUAGGUUUUAAACGAGGCGUUAAACGUAACAGAAGAGUGCAGUGGGGCUCCUAUCUCAAUGAAUGGUACGACCCCUUGGCACUUACAAAUCGCCCUGCAGAUGCCCGGAAUACCCCCAGGAGAGGGGCCAGGCACUCGGCCCUCCCACGUGAGCCUGAUCUCAUCCCAGGUGCUUCCGUCCUGUACCCCCACCCCCUCAGCUCCGCGGAGACCCAGCCUCCCAGGGAGGGAGCAUGCAGCAAGUUCACGGGGUGCAGCUCCUGCCUGGGCUGUGGACCGGCUCCACCCUGGGGCCGAGCCCCUCCGGCUGGAGGUCCCUCCCACUGUGACCUCAGUCAUUCUGCCCCCACCCGCCCGCCCUCUUCCCUGACCCUGCAGUCAUCUUCAGCUCACUCUGAAGCUCCUGGCCGCACCCCCGGAGACCCAGGAAGGUGGGGUUUGGAUUCCUCUUGCCCCCUGAAGGAUGAGCAGGGAAUGAAUGUUACGACCCGGUGUGGUUCUCAGCCCUUAACCCUCCUGGUCACUGUGUCCAGGUCCCCUCAACUCUCCAUGGCGUCUCCCAGAGCUCCCUCUGGGUGGGCUGCAGGCUGCCUGCUCAUGAGGAGUCUCUCGGCGGGGACCCUAAUCCUCUCCCCAUGGUGGGUGGGGAGCUGUAGGUGGCGGAUGCUGUAGACCCGUUUCUUCCCAUUCAGUGGUGCCCAGGGAGGGACUGAAGCCUCGCCCGUCACUGGCUGGGAGGGCUCUUUAUCCGCCCAGCCUCCCCAGAAGCUGGGAAGAGGACUGGCCUGCCUUUGCUGGGGUGCGGGAGGGGCGGGAGGGGCAAAGCCCUGUGAAGCUGAGUCUUCAGGACAACCCCGGAGGUGAGGUCUUUCUGCCAGUCACAGAAGGACGGAUGGUGGUGAGGAUCUACCAAACAGCCCCCACCCCAGCUGGGAUUCCUAUCUGUUCUCCUGCUCCCUUGAAAACUGUCCCAAGGUUGGACAGAGCAGUCUGGUCUGGAGAGACCACAA
ensembl:lncRNA